GAAGGAAUAGCUCAGUGGUAGAGUGUGUGCUUAGCGUGCACGAGGUCCUGGGUUCAGUCCCCAGUACCUUCA
rnacentral:tRNA from 1 species